CCUCCCACACUUUUCCUACCCUUUCAAGCCCCUAACAUUAGGAGAGAAGAAAGGAUAGAAAGAAAAGGAACUACAACUGUGUCCUUAGACUACUUCCUGCUGAUUAGGAGCUUUGAGUUCCUUAACGCAAGUUUGAUCUUCAUUGUCAGGAUAUCUGAUCUUCUUGUUUCUUCUUUUUCCCUGGACUCACCACAUCACUUGGGUGCUAGCACGCAUAUAAAUAUAAAUAUAAAUAUAUAUGUAUGUAUAUGUAUAUAUAUUCUGAAAAGUUCCCAGAAUUCCAAACACUGCACAACUGCAGAAACCGUCUGCCCCUGACAAAAAUCAUUCCCCUGCUAGAGCACUUGGCAAAUCUGUCACCUGCUGAGGACAGUCUGAAGCAGUCCCAUAUUCCACAUCUGGGAUUAAGACAAAAAUUCUUAUAGUAGCUCUGUGUUUCUAAAAAUUACACAAUUCCAGAAUCUUACUACAGGGCUUCUCUGUAUCACCCUGGCUGUCCUGGAACCCUCUCUGUAGACCAGGCUGGCCUCGAACUCAGCCACCCCAGCACUGCCUCCCAAGUGCUGGAGUUAAAGGUGUGCACCACGAUGCCUUUAUUCCCAGUUUUUAUUAAACCUUUAAUUAAUUUUCAGAUAAAGAA
rnacentral:lncRNA from 1 species